GGUGGCUCAGUGGAAGAGUGCAUGCCUUGCAUGCAUGAGGCCCUGGGUUCCAUUCCUCAGCACCA
rnacentral:tRNA from 1 species